AACCUCUCAGGAUGGCACCUGGAGAGUUUCCAGUACUCUACCAGUCUCAACCAAGGGAGGAAGAGUCAAGUAGAGGCAUAUCCAUUCCAUUCCUAGCUUGGGCAGUGGCUAGUGAGUGGAAGGCAAUCUGCUACAAGU